UACGGAGGGCGCUAGCGUUGUUCGGAUUCAUUGGGCGUAAAGGGUGCGUAGGUGGCAUGGUAAGUCGGAUGUGAAAUCCCGGGGCUCAACCCCGGAACUGCAUUCGAUACUGCUGCGCUAGAGUACUGGAGAGGAGAUUGGAAUUUACGGUGUAGCAGUGAAAUGCGUAGAUAUCGUAAGGAAGACCAGUGGCGAAGGCGGAUCUCUGGACAGUUACUGACACUGAGGCACGAAGGCCAGGGGAGCAAACGGG
rnacentral:rRNA from 1 species